GAUGAACGCUGGCGGCGUGCCUAAUACAUGCAAGUCGAGCGAACAGACGAGGAGCUUGCUCCUCUGACGUUAGCGGCGGACGGGUGAGUAACACGUGGAUAACCUACCUAUAAGACUGGGAUAACUUCGGGAAACCGGAGCUAAUACCGGAUAAUAUAUUGAACCGCAUGGUUCAAUAGUGAAAGACGGUUUUGCUGUCACUUAUAGAUGGAUCCGCGCCGCAUUAGCUAGUUGGUAAGGUAACGGCUUACCAAGGCAACGAUGCGUAGCCGACCUGAGAGGUUGAUCGGCCACACUGGAACUGAGACACGGUCCAGACUCCUACGGGAGGCAGCAGUAGGGAAUCUUCCGCAAUGGGCGAAAGCCUGACGGAGCAACGCCGCGUGAGUGAUGAAGGUCUUCGGAUCGUAAAACUCUGUUAUUAGGGAAGAACAAAUGUGUAAGUAACUAUACACGUCUUGACGGUACCUAAUCAGAAAGCCACGGCUAACUACGUG
rnacentral:rRNA from 1 species